CACGUAGGCGCAAGCGUUGUCCGGAAUUAUUGGGCGUAAAGAGCUCGUAGGCGGUCUGUUGCGUCCGCUGUGAAAACUCGGGGCUUAACCCCGAGCCUGCAGUGGAUACGGGCAGACUAGAGGUAGGUAGGGGAGAAUGGAAUUCCCGGUGUAGCGGUGAAAUGCGCAGAUAUCGGGAGGAACACCGGUGGCGAAGGCGGUUCUCUGGGCCUUACCUGACGCUGAGAGCGAAAGCGUGGGG
rnacentral:rRNA from 1 species